UUGACCUCUGACCCCCAGCAGGUUGACCUCUGACCCCCAGUAGGUUGACCUCUGACCCCCAGCAUCCCCACGGUCCAGACUGAGCUUCCUCUCUGCGCGUCAGAACCGGCUCAGUCAAUUCUCAGUUCACGGGUUCUUAAACAGAACCAGAACCCAACAGAACCUCACUCUGUCAAACCUUGGGUCCGGACCUGAUCCGGGCUGGUACCAGCGGAUUCAGACAGGUCAGAACCAACCAAGGCCUGAACAAGCAGCAGCCAGUAGACCAGAACCAGAACCGGACCCAGUUCUCCCACCUACAGUCUGUGACAUCACUUCCUGUCUGCUCUCUGCUCUCUCCCAGCAGAGCCAAGGUAAAGGUCAGAGGUCACGUCACCAUGGAGACGAUGACAUCAUCAGAGGAGGAAUGUGGGAUGAAGAUGCUGCUGGUCACGUGAUCAGCAGACAUGGUGGAAACUUCAGCAUCAUAAACCUGAUGUGAACUGGACUUUGGAUCCUCUGCGGCUCGUUGGCCCGGUUCCGACCGCUCCGGCGCUGUAAACAGACUAGGUGUUGCUAGGCAACGGCUGCUAAUCGGAGCAGUUGCUGGCAUCAUCUUCAUCACCAUCAUCACCAUCCUGCUGAGAGGCUAAAGAUAACCCAGAGAGUCAGACAGAACCACCCGGUCCGGUCCGGCCUGGCAGGCCCGAACCUCCCGCUGGUUCAGGAGCUGCAAACAUCCAGAAGGAACGGAGUCAGACCAGGACCGUUCAAGAAGAGAACCGGUCACUCUUCUCAUCUCCAUCUGUCAGAACCGGUUGCCCUGGUAACCUCCUUCACAAUAAGAGCCUCUGAGCUGAUCAUGGCUGACCCAGAAGAAGAGAAGCUUCUCCUGCUGUGACUUGGCUCACAUGUCGCCGGCUGCAUGGCUCCACGUGAAGCCCCCAUAAAUACCCCGGACCGGAGUAUUUAUGGGGUACAUCGGGGUAUUUAUGCCCCCCUGUUGUCCCCUGUUGCCCUGGAUCCCAGCCCAGCUGCUCUGCUGCCACCGGAUCGAUCCCUCCUCCUCCUCCACUGCAGCUCCACCGCUCUAGGGGUGGAGCCCUCAUUUCCCAGCUGGCCUGAACGCAGCACGGCUCCGUCCCGCAGCGGUAGGAACGUUGCGUGACUCCUGAUGAGUCCACAGCUGCUGCUGCACAUCUGGGCCCAUGGCGACUGCAGCUUCCGCUCCUGGACUUCCGGUCUGACCCCCAUCACCACCCCGCCACCACCAUGCCGCAGUGGUUCACAGGCUCGACUCAUUACUGCAUAACAUUUUAUCUUUUGCAUUAAUAUUUUAUUAUUAUAUUUUUAGU